GCGCGCAGCGAAUGUGGAAUUUGCCUCAUGUCAUAGAGUGGGGGUAGGGAUAUCCGGUCAUCCGGUGCGGAGCAUGCUGAGAUCGAUGAAAUGUUCACUAGAUCAUUGGUAGCAUGUGGCUCAAUAGGGAUUAUAGCCAAGAAGGAAAGAAAAGAAUUGUUACAUUGGUUAAUGGUGGAUCAAGACGCUUUGUAAUAAAAUAAAAUGUAUUAAUUAUUAUAAAAAAAUAAUAAUGUCGGAAGAUAAAGCUGAGUUUUGUGCUUUAACUCGUCUACGGAUAAAAUUUACCGAGGAACAGCGAAAGAUUAUUGAUGGCAUAAAGGCUUCUAGAAAAGAGAGGUUACAACCUCGGACGAGAGGAUUUAAUGAGGAACCGAAGCAUCAUACGGCACGAGUUAAUUUUACAGAGGGUGUCAUUCAGCAAGCGGGAGAAACAAGUGAAGAUAAAAAGUCGGAUGAAGAUAAAAAUUAUGAAGAAGAUGACGCUGAUCAAGAUGUAUCAAAUAAUUCAAGUGAUUUAGAGGAAGAAGUACCACGUACGCCAGUGGGUAUACUCCCUGGGCUGAGAUUAAAACGUCCGCCAGCAAUUCCGUCUUUAAUGAAAAUUGAAGGAGGUAAAUAUAAAAUACACAGUAUACACCAAAGACAUUGAAGCCAUGCUGCUGCUCUAAAUGGGUUUCGAGCCAGGUAAAGGAUUGGGUAAAUCUUUACAAGGUAUCAAUGCUUCAGUCCAGUCCAAAAUUACCGGACGAGUACUACAAUGAUUAUAAAACAUGAGCUGGGUAAAUUAGGGAGCAGUGUGGUUGUGCCGAAAUUCAAGAGUUGUCUGGCUAGUUGGAACCUGCUGCUGGAGCCAAUAUAUUAUUUUAAGUCAAUGAAAGAGUGGAAAGACAUACUGAGCAUUGGUAAUAAUGUUAUACAAGCUAGGACUUCAAUGAGUCCACGUGAUCAGCUGACUUGGAAUGCAUGAAUGCCAUCGAUUCACGAAGCAGUUCAAUUGGUGCUGUGGCUUAAUCAUUCUCCAAAUUAUGACCAGAUAACGCACUGGCACAUGGAGUGGAAAAAAUACUGAAUGACGGACUCUUCCUAAUUUACAAGUCUCGAGAGAACACAGCCAGUUCCUCAAAUUCCUGCCUCAGCUCAACCACGUAUUGAGAGAUUCGCCGAAGCUGAACGUACUGCUUCGCAAAUACCUCAAGGCUUCAAAGAUCUUGUGCAAAAAGAGUACGAAGAACGUGGGAUCCGUAAAUUGGCAACGCACAGGUCUACAUCAACGGAAACGUUCUUUUCUUCAAUGAUAAAACGACUAAUUGGGUUCCUACUCAUCCCAACGCCUUAUUAGACAUGGCAGGACUCUAAUCAGUGAUAAGAAAUUUCUAAUUGAAAGUAUUUAUCAUUUUUUUUACACAUAUUAUUGUUAUUUAAUUUUUUAUUUUGUCUGGAAAACGGUUGAUUGUUGGCCAACCUCAUAAAGUUCGUUGCUUUUACGCCCAAAAAUAUUAUUUAUCUGUUUAUUUUUUUUUUUCGUAAAAUUAAUUAGAUAUAAAAAAAACGAUGCUCGAUUAAAGUAACCAGUUUUAAGAAUUUAAUUAUUCACGAUAACUAGCAACGAUAUUAAUUCAUUUAAAAAUUUUUAUUAACGAUUGAUUCGAUUGACCAAAGUUUAGUUAAUACUUUUUAAACUAUUUACCAAAUACAGGGAAUUGAAUUUAUGUUUUAAAAUUUCGGAUGAAAAUAUCUCCGAAACACACGAAAAUUAUGAUAAUUUUUGCGACAGUCAGAAAGGCCUAUCAUGAUAAAUGGAUUUUAUAUUUAGGUUAUUUCGCUAUUUGGGUUAAGAGUUAUUCAAUGAAAAAUGAAGAAAAUCAUUUUUAUUUAAAUCGUUUCCUUGUGACUCCCUGGAGUUCUGUCGGCUUUUGGUCUGCCGACGCGAAUUAUUCAAAUUAGACGUGACUGUAGAUCUUCUGAUACAUAAAAAAAUUGAACAUUAAAAAAUUAUUAGAAAGAUGCUUUUAUGUAAACAUUUUUCAAGACCAAAUGUUCGUGCUUAUAAUUAAACAUAAUUAAAGAAUGGAAAUUAAAUAAUAAACUUGAAAACAUAGUUAGUUGAGUUAAAAUAAAGGUAAGUUUAAGCAAGAGGAAAAAAUCCUCGCUGGAAUAUAUUCCAAUAUAAUAAUUUUUUAAUAUUCAAUUUUUUUAUGUAUCUAAUUUAUUGAGAAAAAAAAAUAUCUACAGAAUUUUGUAUUGAUCAUUUCUUAUGCGAUAGAAAUUGUUAUAAUAAAAAUUAUCUUCUCUAUAGAUCUAAUUAAAUUUUUUCAUUAUUUAAACAAAUCAAUUAGUUAGAUAUAUGACAUUAUUUUAAAACACAUGAAAUCGCAACUAAAAAAAAAAACAAAAAAAAAUUUAUUUACAGUGUACCAGGAUUAAUCUUUAAAUUAUUAAUUUAAAAUAAACUUACACAAUUAAUUUACAAAUUUAAUUAAUUAGUUCUUUUAUAAUUACAGCAAUCUGUUUUCAAAACAGAUUUUGUUUUUUGCUAACAAUAAAGAGUACAAUUAACUGUCGUCGGUAUUAUAGUUUUUGGUGUUAUUGACUGUCCACGGAAGUUGGCAAUGUAGAACUUAAUCGAUCUUUAGAUAAUAGAACUUUAUAUAUACUCUAUGUUUCGAUGACAAUGAUUGUUUUCAUUUAUUUUAAUACCACAAAAAAGUUAGCGGCGAGUAUUUUUUUAUGGAAUCAAAUGAUACCUCAAUUAAUUGCUCCUUAAAAGCUCUUUCAGAAUCUAUAAUUGCU